AGGCAAGUAAGGCAGCCGACGAGUCAGUGUGGCCCCAGUCGUGAUAGAGAAAGGGUGUGUGCCGAGUCUCCUCCCAGUUAUCUCUUUGACCCAAGCAAACUUUAUCUUUACGAACCUCGGGGAUCCGUACUGAAUAACUUAUCAUAAACUGCAGUCAUGGUUAAUCCAUUGUGAGGAAAGUUGUGUUAUUUUUUUAUGCUUCUGCAAGUAGUAGAGGUUUUGUGUUACAGUUUUGUGAAGGAUUUAUUUAGCGAAUGAUUUCAAGUGGAUUGAGUCGUUGUGCAGCGUUGAAGUCUCUCUAUUAAACCAGUUCCCGGGGCCCCAUCUUUUUAUUCAAGGAGCCGUGAUCUUGGUGAGGUGACCAUGAUGAACUGCGGCUUCCCUUCACUACUACUGCUGCUGGUGACCUUCUCGACGGUGUCACUGGCGCAGUACCAGGAGGACUUCGGGCUUGAGCGAACUAGUAACCCGGUGUCCAUCAGUCAGCUGGAGGUGAUGUGUGGCAAGGACCACCUCACCGUGCAGCUCGCCUUCACCGCUCCCUUCCAGGGUCUGGUGUUCUCCAAGGGACAAUACGGGGACCCGAACUGCAUGUACGUGGAGCCUCACUCCGGAGGCACCCACUACGAGUUCCAGAUCUACUACGACGGCUGCGGCACCAAACCAGACAUGGGCGGCAAGUUCUACGAGAACACCAUCAUUGUGCAGUACGACGCCGACCUCAUCGAAGUGUGGGACGAGGCCAAGCGACUGAGGUGUGAGUGGUACAAUGACUACGAGAAGACUGCCAGUAAACCUCCCAUGAAGAUCGCUGACUUAGAGGUUAUUGAACUGAACUUCCGAGGGGACAACGUGGACUGCUGGAUGGAGAUACAAGAUGGCAAGGGGCCCUGGGCGUCACCCAUCACUGGCAUCGUCCCCUUGGGCUCUACCCUCACCAUGGUCAUAGCUAUCAACGACCAGGCCGGGGAGUUCGACAUGCGGGUGACGUCAUGCGAGGCUUCAGACGGCAGCAACUCGCCCAUCUACCUCAGUGAUCAACACGGGUGUGUCCUCCGCCCCAAGAUGAUCUCUAAAUUUAUGAAGCUCCGCAACAACGACGGCCGCGCCACCGUCCUCACUUACGCUCACUUCCACGCCUUCAAGUUCCCUGACUCCAUGGCUGUCCAUCUUCGCUGUAAAGUCGAAAUUUGCCGCUUCGGUUGCCCGGAUCACUGCCAGAAGCCCACUGCUGGUAACCCCAUCGGUGACUACAACCAGCAGACUCUGCUACAGCAGCAACCCAGCGACUCGUAUGGCUCCCCAGCAGAGCUCGUGCCUCGGUACGAGUCUCCUCCCAACAACGUUGGCGACUCUGGUUUCGGCGAGAAGAGUGUUAGUGAAGGUCGUCGACCUCGCCCUCUCCCGAACACCAACCUCGACUCAAUGGUGAUGAAGGAUACGGUUCCCAAAGGGCCUCUCAUCAUUCCCAAUGAACAGUUAGCUAAGAUCUACCUCGACGGCUCACCACUCCAGGGCAAGGAAACCAUCGAACUCCCUAACUUCAAGGAGGACUUCCCCUGGGGCCCGAGGAACCUCCGCCGUCGACGCCGUGAAGUGAUCUUGGAGCGUCACACUCGUGCCUCCAACAUCGGCGUUUCCACAGACUACCAGGUCAUCUCUGAGGCUGACUUGGAGUUCACCCCCGCCAUGGAAGACCGAGUCACUGUGUUUAAGGGCCACCGGGAGGAGGUAGUGUACGGGGUGUGUCUGCCCGCGCCUGGGUUCUCGGCACUGUUUGUGUUGCUGGCCAUGUGUACUGUCAUCUCUGUGCUAGUGGCCGGCUUCAUGUGCCACCACCGACAGCUGCAGAAGGACACGGCUGAGUCCCCUGCCGCCCCACACCCGCACCAACAGGCCUUCAGUAUGGUACAGUUCCUGCGGGGUCAUCUCCCAGGUUAUGCUCAAUGAUAUGCUGGGACACAACUCAAGGACAAUACAGCUCAUAUCUUGACUAUCUCACAGCUCCAGGCAUUCAGAGAGUCGCCAUGACGACACAGCCAGGUCGCCAUUUACUGUUUUAGGAUUCAGACACCUUGUGUACUUAGAGGCAUUAGUUAACUGCAGCAGAACGACCCACACAAAAGCUACACCACAAGGCUCCUGUUACAUGAUAGAUGUCACCUUUAGAAAACGACGCACGGAAUCACUAAAACAUACUAGAAGUUGGAGUAACAAAUUGUCAAAGAUAAUUUCGUAUUUCCACACCCAGAUGUUGUUUAGCUCUGAGCCAGACCUUUGAAUUCUUGUUCUUGGUCCUUCACACCUUCGGGAGGAGGGCGCCUCAAGCACCUGCCGCUCCUCCCUGCGUCAGUGCAAGUAUUGUAUAUAGUCUGUUUUCUACUCCUCUGCUGAGACUAGAUGGGUCUUCCUCUUCUCUCUCGGUCUCUUAUAGACAUUCAGGUUUCACAAAAACAAAGAGUUUUUUUUUGCCAAAUUACCAAAGGCUGUUAUUGUUUAUGAAAUUAACACUGAUGACCCAUUUAGUCGUCAGACAAGUUGAUCUGAGGCGGCGGAGGAUGUCGCUGCUACUCCGAUCACCUACUGUAUUAUAAGGAUGUCAUGGUAGCUCUUCAGUCGUUGUAGAGUGCCCACAGUGACGCCAUGGGUUAUCUACGGUGACGUCAUAGUUGCCUGCGAUGACGUCAUGGGUUCCCCGCGGCGAAUUUAUGGUUAUCCCCGGUGACAUCAUGGUUUAUCCGCAGUGACGUCAACGGUUACCUGCGGUGAUAUCACAAGUUGCCGAGGUGUGGGGUGCUAGGGAACCAGGAAGGUCUUUGGGAACACACAGACACACAGACACUAUUUACAGUAAAUUGAUGAGGCUAAUUUGAGUGUUCCUUAAGUGUUCCCAAGUUGGUUAACACUUUUUCGAGACUUGUAAAACACUUGCCUGAACAAGGUCUCUCUCUCUCUCUCUCUCUCUCUCUCUCUCU